rnacentral:rRNA from 1 species
UAAAGAGGGCUCAUGACGGUACCGUAAGAAUAAGCACCGGCUAACUACGUGCCAGCAGCCGCGGUAAUACGUAGGGUGCAAGCGUUAAUCGGAAUUACUGGGCGUAAAGCGUGCGCAGGCGGUUUUGUAAGACAGGCGUGAAAUCCCCGGGCUCAACCUGGGAAUUGCGCUUGUGACUGCAAGGCUAGAGUACGGUAGAGGGGGGUAGAAUUCCGCGUGUAGCAGUGAAAUGCGUAGAUAUGCGGAGGAACACCGAUGGCGAAGGCAGCCCCCUGGACCUGUACUGACGCUCAUGCACGAAAGCGUGGGGAGCAAACAGGAUUAGAUACCCUGGUAGUCCACGCCCUAAACGAUGUCAACUGGUUGUUGGGAAUUUACUUUCUCAGUAACGAAGCUAACGCGUGAAGUUGACCGCCUGG